rnacentral:tRNA from 1 species
GGAGGGUUAUCGAAGCGGUCAUAACGAUGCGGUCUUGAAAACCGUGUGGGUGCAAUCCCACGUGGGUUCGAAUCCCACACCCUCCG